CUUACACAUGCAAGUCGAACGAACCUUCGGGUUAGUGGCGGACGGGUGAGUAACGCGUGAGAAUCUGCCCUCAGGAGGGGGACAACAGCUGGAAACGGCUGCUAAUACCCCAUAUGCCGCGAGGUGAAAUGAAUUUCGCCUGAGGAUGAGCUCGCGUCUGAUUAGCUAGUUGGUGUAGGUAAUGGCUCACCAAGGCAUCGAUCAGUAGCUGGUCUGAGAGGAUGAUCAGCCACACUGGGACUGAGACACGGCCCAGACUCCUACGGGAGGCAGCAGUGGGGAAUUUUCCGCAAUGGGCGAAAGCCUGACGGAGCAACGCCGCGUGAGGGAUGAAGGCCUCUGGGCUGUAAACCUCUUUUAUCAAGGAAGAAGAUCUGACGGUACUUGAUGAAUAAGCCACGGCUAAUUCCGUGCCAGCAGCCGCGGUAAUACGGGAGUGGCAAGCGUUAUCCGGAAUUAUUGGGCGUAAAGCGUCCGCAGGCGGCCCUUCAAGUCUGCUGUUAAAAAGUGGAGCUUAACUCCAUCAUGGCAGUGGAAACUGUUGGGCUUGAGUGUGGUANGGGCAGAGGGAAUUCCCGGUGUA
rnacentral:rRNA from 1 species